rnacentral:lncRNA from 1 species
CGAACCCACAACGAUGCCCCUUGGGGGCUAGCUUUGUGGUCUUCUGCUUAGCUGCCUGGCCUGGCUCUGUACAGCCAUAGGAGAGAGGCUUUGGGAAUUCCCUUCUCUCCAUCAUGUAGGCCUGCGGUGGGGCCCUGACCGAGUGGACCAAUGUGAUUGGCUGGUCAUCACUCACACAGACAUUCCGGCAUACCACCCUCAGCGAUCACAUCCAGGUAUUGGAAGAAACGUGCAGGUACCUGGUGAGCACAAGCAAAACACAGCUGGUGGGGGACUUACUGUGCCAGAGCUUUGGCUUCCUGAAGAGCCCUCAGUCCUUCCUAAGGGCAGCUGCCAUCAACUUCAUAGGAUUAACAGCUAAGAAGCUAAGCCUGAGUCAAAUACAUGAGGAUGAUGUGGAGCUGUUACAGAAUGGUGAGUCCGAGCCUUGUCCCU